CCUACGGGCGGCAGCAGUGAGGAAUAUUGGUCAAUGGCCGGAAGGCUGAACCAGCCAUGCCGCGUGAAGGUCAGUGCCCUAUGGGCGUUAAACUUCUUUUGUGCGGGAGCAAUAAUGGUCACGUGUGGCCAGACGAGAGUACCGUACGAAUAAGCAUCGGCUAACUCCGUGCCAGCAGCCGCGGUAAUACGGGGGAUGCAAGCGUUAUCCGGAUUUAUUGGGUUUAAAGGGUGCGUAGGCUGUGAGGUAAGUCAGCGGUGAAAUGCCCCCGCUCAACGGGGUGAAGUGCAAUUGAUACUGCCGUGCUGGAAUGCGGAUGCCGUGGGAGGAAUGUGUGGUGUAGCGGUGAAAUGCAGAGAUAUCACACAGAACACAGAUUGCGAAGGCAUCUCACGAAUCCGCGAUUGACGCUGAUGCACGAAAGCGUGGGUAUCAAACAGGAUUAGAUACCCGAGUAGUC
rnacentral:rRNA from 1 species